UACAGAGGUGGCAAGCGUUGUUCGGAAUUACUGGGCGUAAAGCGUGCGCAGGCUGUUCUGUAAGUCAGAUGUGAAAUCCCCGAGCUCAACUUGGGAACUGCGUUUGAAACUACAGGACUAGAAUAUGUCAGAGGGGGGUAGAAUUCCACGUGUAGCAGUGAAAUGCGUAGAGAUGUGGAGGAAUACCAAUGGCGAAGGCAGCCCCCUGGGAUAAUAUCGACGCUCAUGCACGAAAGCGUGGGGAGCAAACAGG
rnacentral:rRNA from 1 species